UACGUAGGGUGCGAGCGUUAAUCGGAAUUACUGGGCGUAAAGGGUGCGCAGGCGGUCCUGCAAGUCAGGCGUGAAAUCCCCGGGCUUAACCUGGGAAUGGCACUUGAAACUACGGGACUGGAGUAUGGCAGAGGGAGGUGGAAUUCCACGUGUAGCGGUGAAAUGCGUAGAGAUGUGGAGGAACACCCGUAGCGAAGGCGGCACUCUGGGCCGGUACUGACGCUGAGGCACGAAAGCGUGGGGAGCAAACAGG
rnacentral:rRNA from 1 species